rnacentral:rRNA from 1 species
GACGAACGCUGGCGGCGUGCUUAACACAUGCAAGUCGAACGGGCCCGCCCCUGUUUUUGGGGGUGGGUUGAGUGGCGAACGGGUGAGUAUCACGUGAGUAACCUGCCCCCUGCUCCUGGAUAACUGCUUGAAAGGGCGGCUAAUACGGGGUGUGCCGGCUGGUCCGCAUGGGCCUGGUCGGGAUAGUUUCAUCUUCGGGUGUUUCGGUGGGGGAUGGGCUCGCGGCCUAUCAGCUUGUUGGUGGGGUGAUGGCCCACCAAGGCGGUGACGGGUAGCCGGCCUGGGAGGGUGGGCGGCCACACUGGGACUGAGACACGGCCCAGACUCCUGCGGGAGGCAGCAGUGGGGGGUAUUGCACAAUGGGCGGAAGCCUGAUGCAGCGACGUCGCGUGAGGGAUGGAGGCCUUCGGGUUGUGAACCUCUUUCUCCGGUGGUGAAGGCCCUGUCCGUUGCGGCGGGGUUGACGGUAGCCGGGUAUGAAGCGCCGGCUAACUACGUG